rnacentral:rRNA from 1 species
CAGAAGCGUAUGCGCACGUUGUUGCAGUUAAAAAGCUCGUAGUUGGAUUUCUGGGAGCGGUCCUCUGGCCCGACGCAUCAGCGUUCGAGUGCCGGGCGGACUCUUCCAUCCUCGGGGACCCUAUCCGCCUGCCAUUCACUUGGCCGGGCGGGAGACCCCGUCAGUCACUUUGAACAAAAUGGACUGCUCAAGGGAGGCUUUUGCCUUUGAACAAUUCAGCAUGGAAUGAUAACAUAGGAUCUAUGACCCGUGUUGUCGGUUUCGGGACACAGAUAAUGAUUAAUGAGGACGGUUGGGGGUGCUCGUACUGCGCGGCCAGAGGUGAAAUUCUUGGACUCGCGCAUGACGAACUUCUGCGAAGGCAUUCACCAAGGACGUCCCUGUCGA